GACCGUGUAGCUCAGUUGGCAGAGCAUUGGGCUAGUAUUCCAAAGGUCGUAGGUUCAAUUCCCACCGUGGCCA
rnacentral:tRNA from 1 species